rnacentral:rRNA from 1 species
UGGCAGACGGGUGAGGAACACGUAUCUAACCUGACGCGUGAUGGGGGAUAGUCUUGCGAAAGUGGGUUGAAUACCGCAUACGCUCGUUCCGUGGAGGCGCGGGACGAAGAAAGUUGGCCUCUGCGAGCACGCUGAUGUCGCGCGAGGGGGAUGCGUCCUAUUAGCUAGCUGGUGGGGUAAUGGCCUACCAGGGCGACGAUGGGUAGCUGGUCUGAGAGGAUUCUCAGCCACCUGGGACUGGGAACGCCGAUCUACGGAGGCAGCAUUGGGACUUCGCAUGGACGCCAGUCGACGCAGCACGCCGCGUGCCGAGACGCCUUCGGGGUGUAAGCGCGUCAGAGGGGACGAAGACCCGCGAGGUGAGAGCUUGGCGGGGUGACGGUACUUCAGAGAAGCCCGGCUAACUCCGUGCAGCAGCCGCGGUAAGACGGAGGGGGCAAGCGUUGUUCGGAAUCAUUGGCGUAAGGGGCGCGUAGGCGGCGCAUCAAGUGUGACGUGAAAGCCCUCGGCUUACCCGAGGAAGGGCGUCGCAAACUGAUGGGCUGGAGUGCCGGAGGGGAAGGCGGAAUGCCUGGUGGAGCGGUGAAAUGCGUAGAGAUCAGGCAGAACGUCGGUGGCGAAGGCGGCCUUCUGGACGGACACUGACGCUGAGGCGCGAGAGCGUGGGGAGCGAACGGGAUUAGAUACCCCGGUAGUCCACGCCGUAAACGAUGGGCACUAGGUGUGGGGGUGGUGAUCAUCUCCGUGCCGGAGCUAACGCAGUAAGUGCCCCGCCUGGGGAGUACGGUCGCAAGGCUGAAACUCAAGGAAUUGACGGGGGCCCGCACAGCGGUGGAGCAUGUGGUUUAAUUCGACGCAACGCGCAGACCCUUACCUGGGCUUGACAUGUCACGGCGAUCGGCUGAAAGGUCGAGUGCCUUUGGGCCCGUGACACAGGUGCUGCAUGGCUGUCGUCAGCUCGUGUCGUGAGAUGUUGGGUUAAGUCCGCAACGAGCGCAACCCCUGCCGUCGUUACCAGCAGGUUUGGCUGGGGACUCGACGGGGACUGUCGGUGUGACGGCGGAGGAAGGUGGGGAUGACGUCAAGUCCUCAUGGCCCUGACGCCCAGGGCUACACACGUGCUACAAUGGGGGGGACAACGGGUCGCGACCUUGCGAGAGGGAGCCAAUCCCGAAGCCCCUUCUCAGUUCGGAUUGGAGUCUGCAACUCGACUCCAUGAAGGUGGAAUCGCUAGUAAUCGCGGAUCAGCAUGCCGCGGUGAAUACGUUCCCGGGCCUUGUACACACCGCCCGUCACACCACGAAAGUUGUGUGUACCCGAAGUCGCCGGGCCAACCCUUCGGGGGGGCAGGCGCCGAAGGUAUGCAGAGCGAUUGGGGUGAAGUCGUAACAAGGUAACC